AACGAACGCUGGCGGCAGGCUUAACACAUGCAAGUCGAAGGUGAAGCAGGGCUUCGGCCCUGUGGAAACUGGCGCACGGGUGAGUAACGCGUGGGAAUCUACCCCGGGGUGGGGAAUAACCGCUGGAAACGGCGGCUAAUACCGCAUACGCCUUGCGAGGGAAAGCUUUAUGCGCCCUGGGAUGAGCCCGCGUCGGAUUAGCUUGUUGGUGAGGUAACGGCUCACCAAGGCUUCGAUCCGUAGCUGGUCUGAGAGGAUGAUCAGCCACACUGGGACUGAGACACGGCCCAGACUCCUACGGGAGGCAGCAGUGGGGAAUAUUGGACAAUGGGGGCAACCCUGAUCCAGCCAUGCCGCGUGCGUGAAGAAGGCCCUAGGGUUGUAAAGCGCUUUCGGCGGGGAAGAUGAUGACGGUACCCGCAGAAGAAGCCCCGGCUAACUCCGUG
rnacentral:rRNA from 1 species